GACGAACGCUGGCGGCGUGCUUAACACAUGCAAGUCGAACGGAAAGGCCCUGCUUUUGUGGGGUGCUCGAGUGGCGAACGGGUGAGUAACACGUGAGUAACCUGCCCUUGACUUUGGGAUAACUUCAGGAAACUGGGGCUAAUACCGGAUAGGAGCUCCUGCUGCAUGGUGGGGGUUGGAAAGUUUCGGCGGUUGGGGAUGGACUCGCGGCUUAUCAGCUUGUUGGUGGGGUAGUGGCUUACCAAGGCUUUGACGGGUAGCCGACCUGAGAGGGUGACCGGCCACAUUGGGACUGAGAUACGGCCCAGACUCCUACGGGAGGCAGCAGUGGGGAAUAUUGCACAAUGGGCGGAAGCCUGAUGCAGCAACGCCGCGUGCGGGAUGACGGCCUUCGGGUUGUAAACCGCUUUCGCCUGUGACGAAGCAUGAGUGACGGUAAUGGGUAAAGAAGCACCGGCUAACUACGUG
rnacentral:rRNA from 1 species